UUAAACAUGAUUAUAAACGUGAAAUCGUCGGCAUGUGCGGUGCAUCGUUAAAUUGUAUAGAUCUUCGACGCGCGACGGUUGUAAUAUUAUUUAUUGUAUUAUAUUAAAAUUAAUGAUUAAACUAUGAUAUUAUAAUAUAUUGAUAUAGAGAUGACAAGACGAGAUCUAGGAGACGAUGUUGCACUUUAGCUGUAGCGAAAAUCGUGUGUUACAGUACCGGCGGGGCGGCGAGGAAGCCUGCAAACUAUCGGUCCUGUGAAUAUGCGCCUGUUAAAGGGAUUCGUCGUGAAAAGCAUACGUCACCGUCUCGUACGUAAAUAUGACAGAAUAUGGGAAUUUAUUUUGCAGCAGUACUACUAGUACCUAUAUCUAAGCUUAUCGCUACAAAAGUCCUUAUAAGCAAACCCAGUUUGUUAAAUAUAUACUUCUUCAUUUGGACAAUAAAGUACAUUAAUAUUACCAUUGAGUAUAUAUACAUAAUGGCAUUAUACAUACUAGGUAUUCGUGAUUUCCAUUCCGAGACACACAGACUAUGUAUAAACAUUAUUAUCGGUUUUGAAAUUGAUUCUGACAGUAGUCAUAAUUCAUAAGUAUAUAUAAUCUAUAUAUACAUGUAUACAUCAGAGGUGUUCAACGUUCAACCCAUGGCACACGUGGUCUCUCUAUAAGGUUUAGUUGAAUUCGUACAUUAUAUUACACGAAGACGAAUUCGUUGAAUACGAAUCUGGUUAAAUAAAACAAUGGGGCGUAUACUAAAAUAUCAUAUAAUACUAAUGUUUAUAGUUUUAUACACAAACAACUACAAAAACAGAACACUUGCUUAGUAAUAAAUCGUAAGUAAAUCAGUGUUCAAUGUUCAUAUAAGUAUCGGUGUGGAAUACCGAUUGAUCCUGCGAAUAUAUGUUUGGCGAUGGGCCGCCGAGACAGUUUUUGGCAGUCGCGUCGUAGGAAAACGGAUGAUAAUUAUAAAGCCAACACAACGAGCAGUUAACUAUAUUACGCUGGCGAGACUUAGGCGUGAGGUCCUAUCACUCUUCUACGGUACUUUAUGACGACGUGCGCGGAAGUCAUAUCAUUCUUUACCACCAUCACUCGAGAAUAGAACUAGAAAAUAAUAAUAAAAGAAAAAAAAAAACCGAAAACGAAAAUCGUGCGCGGCUAAAAUAUAAGGCAAAAGACGCGUGCACCGUGAAGCGUGUGUAGGUUUUGCUGCAAUCGUAAUCGCAUUAACACGAAUCUAUAUUACAUACACAUAUAUAUGUAACUUAAUAUAGCAGUAUUACGAUACAUUAUUAUCAAAAACAUAUAUAGACAUAAGUGUACUCAUCUGUUGAUCGGUUCCGACGUGUAAUGUCUGCGCCGUCUUGAAUAUAUAGAUCUGUAUGGUAGAGGUACCUUAUGUAUUAUUUCUAUGUAUAGUGUCCACUCACCCGUCUAAAAAUCAGUGGUUAUUAUUAUAUUAUUAUUACGCACUGCACUCAAUUGAUUCGUUUUUCGUGAUCUCGAAAGCCGCACACGCCAUACGGUAUAUGACUUUAUAAUAUGUAUAACACCCAUACUACAUAUACAUUAGUGCGUACGUCGUGACUUAUCAUAGUUUAUAAUAUUUUUAUAAUAUACAUUCAGUACCUCCCUACUAAACUAAACUCAUAUUGCAGAAUUUUGUCGUCGUCGAUUGGCGUACGUGUACAAAAAACAAUUAAAAUAAUUAAAACCAUACGCUUGAUACGAUAUUGACACAUCUUUGUAUCAUUAAUAUUGCUGUCUUGAUCCGAAUUUUCUAUAUUUACUUAUACAUGUAUGCGCUAUACAGUACUGAAAGAACGACCUGGUGAAAAAGGUGAGUAAAAUACGUGACAAACCUGAAAAAUUCGAAAAGAUAAUCUAGAAAAAUUGUUUGAUU